UUCCACCUCAGAUCUGUUCUCAAGCCCUAGGAACUUCCCACAACAUCAUUCAAGGCUCUAGACCACAGAAGGGAUCUUGGAGAUCAUCUUGUACAACUGUUCCAUUGUAGAGCUAGAAAGCUUGAGGCUUAGGGAUAGGACUGCUUGCCCUACAGUCCCCCCUGCCCUGGGGUGCUGGUUGGCAUUGGGAAGGGUAGUGUUUUGGGAGGUGGCCUGAGAGCAAUACCUCUCCGCCAAAGGCCUGCUCGUUGUAAGGCAGAUCUGUGAGGCCGGCACUCCUGUUUGCUCAGCAUCUGUGCCAGGCUAGGCCUCGCCCUGGACAAACACAGCCUGCCGAGCGGCAGGCACCAAGCUCCUUUGUUCUUGGGUUGAUAGCAGGGCUAGUAGGGCCCGUCCUCACCGGAUGUUGGCACCAUGGUUCCCACGGGAAUGCUUCCUGAUCAAGAGGCCGAUAGACUGAAGGGCACCGAGGUACCGGCUACAACAGCCUGGGGCAGGAAGGUGACCACCUGCCAACAGAACGGAUGUGAGAGAGGAGCAGGUGGAGGUGUGGGGACUGAACGCCAAGCCGGUUAAUGAAAGCUGGGACACCUUCAUCUCUUUGGGAGCAGGCCUUUCCAGGUCUCUGCUGCUGCUCCCAGAACCCUCCGUGUGAUGCCGCUCCUACUUCCCUCCAGAAGGAGAACACAGUGAGAGAAAGCAGGGCUUCAGAGCCCAUGGCACUUGGCUUAGAAAUCUGACACCACCUCUCUUGAGCUUUGUGACCUCAGGCAAGUCACUUCAACUCUUUGAUUCUGUUUUUUCACUUGUAAAACUACACAAUCUCAUGGGACAGUUCUGAGCAUUAAAUGAGAGAAGUAUGUAAAGGCUUGAAUGGAGUACCUAGUACCUAGCAGGUCUUCAAUAAAUGCUAGUACCACU